CCUACGGGAGGCUGCAGUAGGGAAUAUUGCUCAAUGGGGGAAACCCUGAAGCAGCAACGCCGCGUGGAGGAUGAAGGUUUUCGGAUUGUAAACUCCUUUUGUUAGAGAAGAUAAUGACGGUAUCUAACGAAUAAGCACCGGCUAACUCCGUGCCAGCAGCCGCGGUAAUACGGAGGGUGCAAGCGUUACUCGGAAAGACUGGGCGGAAAGAGCGCGGAGGCGGGAUAGCAAGUCAGAUGUGAAAUCCUAUGGCUUAACCAUAGAACUGCAUUUGAAACUGUUAUUCUAGAGUAUGGGAGAGGUAGGUGGAAUUCUUGGUGUAGGGGUAAAAUCCGUAGAGAUCAAGAGGAAUACUCAUUGCGAAGGCGACCUGCUAGAACAUAACUGACGCUGAUGCGCGAAAGCGUGGGGAGCAAACAGGAUUAGAUACCCGAGUAGUC
rnacentral:rRNA from 1 species